rnacentral:rRNA from 1 species
AUUGAACGCUGGCGGCAGGCUUAACACAUGCAAGUCGAGCGCGCGGCGGCCGGGUGCGUAAUCUCUGGGACACUGCCUGCUGGUGGUGGAUAACUCCUGGAACCUUUCGCUAAUACCGCAUCCCAUCGCAUGUUCCCAGAUGGGAUUAGCUAGUAGGUGGGGUAACGGCGCACCUAGGCGACGAUCCCUCGCUGGGCUGAGAGGAUGACCAGCCACACUGGAACUGAGACACGGUCCAGACUCCUACGGGAGGCAGCAGUGGGGAAUAUUGCACAAUGGGCGCAAGCCUGAUGCAGCCAUGCCGCGUGUAUGAAGAAGGCCUUCGGGUUGUAAAGUACUUUCAGCGAGGAGGCGUUACUCGAAGAAGAAGCACCGGCUAACUCCGUGCCAGCAGCCGCGGUAAUAC